rnacentral:rRNA from 1 species
UACAGAGGUCCCAAGCGUUGUUCGGAUUCAUUGGGCGUAAAGGGUGCGUAGGCGGCGCGGUAAGUCGGGUGUGAAAUCUCGGGGCUUAACUCCGAAACUGCAUUCGAUACUGCCGUGCUUGAGGACUGGAGAGGAGACUGGGAAUUUACGGUGUAGCGGUGAAAUGCGUAGAUAUCGUAAGGAAGACCAGUGGCGAAGGCGGGUCUCGUGGACAGUUCCUGACGCUGAGGCACGAAGGCCAGGGGAGCAAACGGG